rnacentral:rRNA from 1 species
GACGAACGCUGGCGGCGUGCUUAACACAUGCAAGUCGAACGGAAAGGCCUUUUCGGAGGUACUCGAGUGGCGAACGGGUGCGUAACACGUGGGUGAUCUGCCCUGCACUCUGGGAUAAGCCUGGGAAACUGGGUCUAAUACCGGAUAGGACCGCACUUUAGUGUGUGUGGUGGAAAGUUUUUUCGGUGUAGGAUGAGCCCGCGGCCUAUCAGCUUGUUGGUGGGGUAAUGGCCUACCAAGGCGGCGACGGGUAGCCGGACUGAGAGGUUGGUCGGCCACAUUGGGACUGAGAUACGGCCCAGACUGCUACGGGAGGCAGCAGUGGGGAAUAUUGCACAAUGGGCGCAAGCCUGAUGCAGCGACGCCGCGUGGGGGAUGACGGCCUUCGGGUUGUAAACUACUUUCGCCAGGGACGAAGCGUUUUGUGACGGUACCUGGAGAAGAAGCAACGGCUAACUACGUG